rnacentral:sRNA from 1 species
GCGAACAGCUCGGAGGCCGGCCGGGUGGCGCGGCUUCUGGUCGCUCCGAACAUCCCCCACCAUCGAGCCCUGCUGUUCUGCCGGCGUGGAAGGCCGCGGGCACCCCAGGGUCCCACGCGCUCGUGGAGGGAGCUCUGUGCACAAGUCCAUCCAGGGCCCGGCCCUGGGGUGGCUCAGGGUGUGGGAAUCACGACGGGAUUCCGUGUGGAGUGUUCAAUUUCAGAAGCUUCAGCAACUGCGCCUUACACAGUACCAUGGAGGAUCUUUACCAAAUGUGAGCCAGCUGCGGAGCAGUGCGUCAGAGUUUCAGCCGUCAUUUCACCAAGCUGAUAAUGUUCGGGGAACACGCCAUCACGGGCUGGUGGAGAGGCCAUCCAGGAACCGCUUCCACCCCCUCCACCGAAGGUCUGGGGACAAGCCAGGGCGACAAUUUGAUGGUAGUGCUUUUGGAGCCAAUUACUCCUCACAGCCUCUGGAUGAGAGUUGGCCAAGGCAGCAGCCUCCUUGGAAAGACGAAAAGCAUCCUGGGUUCAGGCUGACAUCUGCACUUAACAGGACCAAUUCUGAUUCUGCUCUUCACACGAGUGC